rnacentral:rRNA from 1 species
GACGAACGCUGGCGGCGUGCUUUACACAUGCAAGUCGAACGGUGAAGGUGGAGCUUGCUCCGCCGGAUCAGUGGCGAACGGGUGAGUAACACGUGGGCAACCUGCCCCUAACUUUGGGAUAACUACUCGAAAGAGUAGCUAAUACCGGAUAUGAAGUCUGUAGGCAUCUAUGGAUUUGGAAAGUUUUUCGGUUAGGGAUGGGCCCGCGGCCUAUCAGCUUGUUGGUGAGGUAGUGGCUCACCAAGGCGACGACGGGUAGCCGGCCUGAGCGGGCGACCGGCCACACUGGGACUGGGACACGGCCCAGACUCCUACGGGAGGAAGCAGUGGGGAAUAUUGCGCAAUGGGCGAAAGCCUGACGCAGCAACGCCGCGUGCGGGAUGAAGGCCUUCGGGUUGUAAACCGCUUUCAGCAGGGAAGAAGCGAAAGUGACGGUACCUGCAGAAGAAGCACCGGCUAACUACGUGCCAGCAGCCGCCGUAA